AGAACACAUCACUUGUAGAUACCUAUUUU
rnacentral:piRNA from 1 species